rfam:Pseudomassariella vexata strain CBS 129021 BCR38scaffold_3, whole genome shotgun sequence.
UCCGCAUUAGUGUAGGGGUUAACAUAUCGCGUUUUCACCGCGAAGCCCGGGGUUCGAUUCCCCGAUGCGGAG